rnacentral:rRNA from 1 species
GACGAACGCUGGCGGCGUGCUUAACACAUGCAAGUCGAACGGAAAGGCCCUGCUUUUGUGGGGUGCUCGAGUGGCGAACGGGUGAGUAACACGUGAGUAACCUGCCCUUGACUUUGGGAUAACUUCAGGAAACUGGGGCUAAUACCGGAUAGGAGCUCCUGCUGCAUGGUGGGGGUUGGAAAGUUUCGGCGGUUGGGGAUGGACUCGCGGCUUAUCAGCUUGUUGGUGGGGUAGUGGCUUACCAAGGCUUUGACGGGUAGCCGGCCUGAGAGGGUGACCGGCGACAUUGGGACUGAGAUACGGCCCAGACUCCUACAGGAGGCAGCAGUGGGGAAUAUUGCGCAAUGGGCGGAAGCCUGAUGCAGCAACGCCGCGUGCGGGAUGACGGCCUUCGGGUUGUAAACCGCUUUCGCCUGUGACGAAGCGUGAGUGACGGUAAUGGGUAAAGAAGCACCGGCUAACUACGUG